rnacentral:rRNA from 1 species
AGCGAACGCUGGCGGCAGGCCUAACACAUGCAAGUCGAACGAAGUCUUCGGACUUAGUGGCGGACGGGUGAGUAACACGUGGGAACGUGCCUUUAGGUUCGGAAUAACUCAGGGAAACUUGUGCUAAUACCGAAUGUGCCUUUCGGGGGAAAGAUUUAUCGCCUUUAGAGCGGCCCGCGUCUGAUUAGCUAGUUGGUGGGGUAAUGGCCCACCAAGGCUACGAUCAGUAGCUGGUCUGAGAGGAUGACCAGCCACAUUGGGACUGAGACACGGCCCAAACUCCUACGGGAGGCAGCAGUGGGGAAUCUUGCGCAAUGGGCGAAAGCCUGACGCAGCCAUGCCGCGUGGAUGAUGAAGGUCUUAGGAUUGUAAAAUCCUUUCACCGGUGAAGAUAAUGACUGUAGCCGGAGAAGAGGCCCCGGCUAACUUCGUGCCAGCCGCCGCGGUAACAC